rnacentral:tRNA from 1 species
AGCGCUGUGGUGUAGUGGACAAGCAUAUAGGGCUUUGGACCCUGAGACCGCAGUUCGAAUCUGCGCAGCGCUACCA